UGUUUUAAGUCCCCUCCAAAGCACUUAGAGAGGGAGUCACUGCUGGAGCCCAGGCACAGAUAGGACAGGGAUAUAUUUUCUUCUUACCACUUCAGCUGUUUCCACCUUAGGAAACUUCUUUCCACCUCCAGCUGUUCUUCCCUUAGGAGACAGGAUCCCAUUUCCUCUCUCCCCAGGCAGAUUGGGGAAAGCCUGGAGUCAUCCUCUGGUUUCAUGACAAAGGACCUGGCUAGGGCUGGGAAAUGGCUGGGCAAGCCUCAACCUGAUGCCCAGACCUUGUCAGCACGUGACCCUGCAGACUGGGAAGCACUUCUCCUCCCCUGCAUCCAGGCCCAGGGGAUCAGGAAAAGUCCUCGUGGAUAAAUGAGCUCCAGCUGAUGGGGCACCUGCAGUAGCUGUCACUGUGCUGCAGGGGGGAACCUUUGGCUGCUGAUGCACUCGCGGCUGCCGCAAGUUGGAGCAGGCACCGCGAGUCAGCUUUGGCCGAAAUGCCCGCAGGAAGAGCCCUGCUGAUUUGUAUCGGGUCCCGACUGCAUUACAGCUUCUGGGGCUUUUCCUAGCUUUAAACAGUUUAGGGAAAAGAGUCCUAAAAAUUAAAAUUAU